GUUCCCGAACGAUCACUGAAGUUAAGCAAAGUCGAGCCUGGUCAGUAUCUAGAUGGGUGACCGCUUGAGAAUACCAGGUGCUGUAA